rnacentral:rRNA from 1 species
UACGUAGGGGGCUAGCGUUGUCCGGAAUCAUUGGGCGUAAAGCGCGUGUAGGCGGUCCGGUAAGUCCGCUGUGAAAGUCGGGGGCUCAACCCUCGGAUGCCGGUGGAUACUGUCGGGCUUGAGUACGGAAGAGGCGAGUGGAAUUCCUGGUGUAGCGGUGAAAUGCGCAGAUAUCGGGAGGAACACCGGUGGCGAAGGCGGUCUGCUGGGCCGUUGCUGACGCUGAUGCGCGACAGCGUGGGGAGCAAACAGG